rnacentral:rRNA from 1 species
GAUGAACGCUGGCGGCGUGCCUAACACAUGCAAGUCGAACGAAAAAACCAUGUUCGGGUGUGUUUCACGUGGGGAGCGGCUGAGUGAAACACGUGCGAACUGCCCCCUUCAUUUGGGGAGAAACUGAAGACAGUGGGGAAUAUAGAGUAUAUCAGCUCUUGCGCCAGGGUGGCGCGUGGAAAGUUCCGGCGGUUGGGGAUGGACUCGAGGCUUUUCGGCUUGUUGGUGGGGUAGGGGCUUACCAAGGCUUUGAUGGGUAGCGGGCCUGAGAGGGUGACCAGCCACAUUGGGACUGAGAUACGGCCCAGACUCCUACGGGAGGCAGCAGUGGGGAAUCUUGCACAAUGGGCGGAAGCCUGAUGCAGCGACGCCGCGUGCGGGAUGAAGGCCUUCGGGUUGUAAACCGCUUUCAGCUGUGACGAGGCGAGAGUGACGGUACCUGCUGAAGAAGCCCCGGCUAACUACGUG